GAUGAACGCUGGCGGCGUGCUUAACACAUGCAAGUCGAACGAAGCACUCUAUUUGAUUUUCUUCGGAAAUGAAGAUUUUGUGACUGAGUGGCGGACGGGUGAGUAACGCGUGGGUAACCUGCCUCAUACAGGGGGAUAACAGUUGGAAACGACUGCUAAUACCGCAUAAGCGCACAGGAUCGCAUGAUCCGGUGUGAAAAACUCCGGUGGUAUGAGAUGGACCCGCGUCUGAUUAGCCAGUUGGCAGGGUAACGGCCUACCAAAGCGACGAUCAGUAGCCGACCUGAGAGGGUGACCGGCCACAUUGGGACUGAGACACGGCCCAAACUCCUACGGGAGGCAGCAGUGGGGAAUAUUGCACGAUGGGGGAAACCCUGAUGCAGCGACGCCGCGUGAGCGAAGAAGUAUUUCGGUAUGUAAAGCUCUAUCAGCAGGGAAGAAGAAUGACGGUACCUGACUAAGAAGCACCGGCUAAAUACGUGCCAGCAGCCGCGGUAAUACGUAUGGUGCAAGCGUUAUCCGGAUUUACUGGGUGUAAAGGGAGCGCAGGCGGUGCGGCAAGUCUGAUGUGAAAGCCCGGGGCUCAACCCCGGUACUGCAUUGGAAACUGUCGUACUAGAGUGUCGGAGGGGUAAGUGGAAUUCCUAGUGUAGCGGUGAAAUGCGUAGAUAUUAGGAGGAACACCAGUGGCGAAGGCGGCUUACUGGACGAUAACUGACGCUGAGGCUCGAAAGCGUGGGGAGCAAACAGGAUUAGAUACCCUGGUAGUCCACGCCGUAAACGAU
rnacentral:rRNA from 1 species